rfam:Ricinus communis cultivar Hale ctg_1100012356513, whole genome shotgun sequence.
AAACCGUGGUCUGGCGACAUCUCAGCAACUCAUUGUACCUCUCCCAUGCAUCAUACAUGUUCUCAUCAUCAAACUGCACAAAAAAAGAAAUAUCAUUACCCAUCUU